rnacentral:rRNA from 1 species
AGAAUCAACGCUGGCGGCGUGCCUAACACAUGCAAGUCGAACGAGAAAGUGGAGCAAUCCAUGAGUAAAGUGGCGCACGGGUGAGUAACACGUGACUAACCUACCUUUUAGUGGGGGAUAACCUAGGGAAACCUGGGCUAAUACCGCAUAACACUUACGAGUCAAAGCAGCAAUGCGCUUGGAGAGGAGUUCGCGGCAGAUUAGUUAGUUGGCGGGGUAAUGGCCCACCAAGACGAUGAUCUGUA